GUUGGCCAAGACCGGCAGCUCCCACGGGGACCCCAGAUCCCGGCCCUGGAGAGCCCCUGUGAGAGCGGGUGUGGGGACACGGAGGAGGACCCCAGCUGCCCGCAGCUCCCUUCCAGAGACUCUCCGAGGUGCCUCAUGCUGGCCUUGUCGCAAAGCCCCACCAGUGACCCUCCUUUUGGCAAGAAGAACUGCGAGCAGACCUUGGCAGUGGAGCUGUGUGGCACGGCAGGUGAGCCGGGGCCUCGGCUGCUGGGUUGCCCCAUCGAGCCGGCCUUGCCGCCACUGCACAGGCUGCACUGGGUCCUGAGAUACACACCGAGGGCGUUACAAGGGGAGUCGGGGCCUGGGCUCAGCCGCUCGCUCAGCUGCCAGCAGUUGGCACGUGACCUGGUGCAAAAAGAGAGAGACAUGAGUCUUUCCCGAAGGAGCCCCAACGGACCCUCCCCACGACAAGUGCUGUUUGAUACACGCUCUUUCCAAAGGCUGUGCAGAAACACGGCCGAAGGGCAGGCGGGGGCCAGGCUGUGGCCUGGGAGGAAGCUCAGGGUACCAGAGCAGCAGGCAUCUGAGCUGGGCGUGCGGGGUCAAGUCGGAGAGACGGACGGGAGGAGCACGAGCACACGCGGGGCCCAGAGGAGCAAGAGGUGUGCCCGGGGUGGGUCUGCGGCAGACCCGGGGGUCGGGCAAGAGCAGAGGCCCAGAGGGACGCCAGGCUGGUGGGUUCCAGCCGGAUCCUGUGGGCUUCGGGAGCCCCAGAGAGGAAGAGGUUUCGGGCACUGGGCAGGUGCCCUCUGGUGCCUGGGGAGGUUGGAGGCCAAGGUCAGGAGCAGGACCGCGAGGUCCCUGGGGUGGUCAAAUCCAGAUGGGAGGUUUUCCCUGCCCCGCCUGCCCCCCCCCCACCUGCACACGGGGGGGGGGGACCUCAGCCAUCAGGGAGGGCUUGUGGAGGACGGAGCAGGAAGACAGGUCUUGGGAGACCUGAGGGCUUCGGCUCCCACUGCCGGGCUGCAGGAGGAAUGGCAGGUGGGUUCUCCCUCGUGCCCGCUCCGAGUCGCUGCCGAUGGACUGUGAGGAGCCCCAGGCCACGUCUAGGCGGGGUCGGCAGCGCGCUGAUUGAUCAGUGAUGCCUGCCCUCCUUUGGGCUGGGGGAGUGGGGACACAGAAGCUGCUGCUCCGCCGUCCCAGGCUAGGGUCUCGGGGUCCCUCGGGAAGGCCGUCUGUCCCUGCCUCACGUGUCGUUCCUCUUGCUUGAGCAGGACUCACCCCGCCCACCACGCCUCCGUACAAGCCCGCGGAUGAGGAGCCCUUCAAGCCGGACGUCAAGCACAGCCCGGGCCGAGA
rnacentral:lncRNA from 1 species